CCUACGGGAGGCAGCAGUGAGGAAUAUUGGUCAAUGGACGAGAGUCUGAACCAGCCAGGUAGCGUGAAGGAUGACUGCCCUAUGGGUUGUAAACUUCUUUUAUAUGGGAAUAAAAUGUUCCACGUGUGGGAUUUUGUAUGUACCAUAUGAAUAAGGAUCGGCUAACUCCGUGCCAGCAGCCGCGGUAAUACGGAGGAUCCGAGCGUUAUCCGGAUUUAUUGGGUUUAAAGGGAGCGUAGGUGGAUUGUUAAGUCAGUUGUGAAAGUUUGCGGCUCAACCGUAAAAUUGCAGUUGAAACUGGCAGUCUUGAGUACAGUAGAGGUGGGCGGAAUGCGUGGUGUAGCGGUGAAAUGCUUAGAUAUCACGAAGAACUCCGAUUGCGAAGGCAGUUCACUGGACUGCAACUGACACUGAGGCUCGAAAGUGUGGGUAUCAAACAGGAUUAGAUACCCCUGUAGUC
rnacentral:rRNA from 1 species